rnacentral:rRNA from 1 species
AACGAACGCUGGCGGCAGGCUUAACACAUGCAAGUCGAACGGAUCCUUCGGGAUUAGUGGCAGACGGGUGAGUAACGCGUGGGAACGUACCCUUUGCUACGGAAUAACUCAGGGAAACUUGAGCUAAUACCGUAUGUGCCCUACGGGGGAAAGGUUUAUCGGCAAAGGAUCGGCCCGCGUUGGAUUAGCUAGUUGGUGGGGUAAUGGCCUACCAAGGCGACGAUCCAUAGCUGGUCUGAGAGGAUGAUCAGCCACACUGGGACUGAGACACGGCCCAGACUCCUACGGGAGGCAGCAGUGGGGAAUAUUGGACAAUGGGCGCAAGCCUGAUCCAGCCAUGCCGCGUGAGUGAUGAAGGUCUUAGGAUUGUAAAGCUCUUUCACCGGUGAAGAUAAUGACGGUAGCCGGAGAAGAAGCCCCGGCUAACUUCGUG